rnacentral:rRNA from 1 species
AUUGAACGCUGGCGGCAGGCCUAACACAUGCACGUCGAGCGAGCGUCGGACGGGUGAGUAAUGUCUGGGAAACUGCCUGAUGGAGGGGGAUACCUACUGGAAACGGUAUCUAAUACCGCAUACCAUCAGAUGUUCCCAGAUUGGAGUAGCUAGUAGGUGGGGUAACGGCUCACCUAGGCGACGAUCCCUAGCUGGUCUGCGAGGAUGACCAGCCAAACUGCAACGAGGACACGGGCCAGACUCGUACGGGAGGCAGCAGGGGGGAAGAUUGAACAAUGGGGGCAAGCCUGAUGCAGACAGGCCGCGUGUGUGAAGGAGGCCGUCGGGUUGUAAAGCGCUUGCAGCGGGGAGGCGUUACCCGCAGGGGAAGCACCGGCUAACACCGUGCCAGCAGCCGCGGUGAUAC